ACGCUGGCGGCAUGCUUUACACAUGCAAGUCGAACGGCAGCAUAGAGAGCUUGCUCUCUGAUGGCGAGUGGCGAACGGGUGAGUAAUACAUCGGAACGUGUCCGUUUGUGGGGGACAACCACCCGAAAGGGUGGCUAAUACCGCAUAAGACCUGAGGGUGAAAGCCGGGGACCGCAAGGCCUGGCGCGAACGGAGCGGCCGAUGACUGAUUAGCUGGUUGGCGGGGUAAAGGCCCACCAAGGCGACGAUCAGUAGCUGGUCUGAGAGGACGACCAGCCACACUGGAACUGAGACACGGUCCAGACUCCUACGGGAGGCAGCAGUGGGGAAUUUUGGACAAUGGGGGCAACCCUGAUCCAGCCAUGCCGCGUGCGGGAAGAAGGCCUUCGGGUUGUAAACCGCUUUUGUCAGGGACGAAAAGGUGCGGGUUAAGAGCUAGCACUGAUGACGGUACCUGAAGAAUAAGCACCGGCUAACUACGUGCCAGCAGCCGCGGUAAUACGUAGGGUGCGAGCGUUAAUCGGAAUUACUGGGCGUAAAGCGUGCGCAGGCGGUUGGGUAAGACAGAUGUGAAAUCCCCGGGCUUAACCUGGGAACUGCAUUUGUGACUGUCCGACUGGAGUAUGUCAGAGGGGGGUGGAAUUCCAAGUGUAGCAGUGAAAUGCGUAGAUAUUUGGAAGAACACCGAUGGCGAAGGCAGCCCCCUGGGGCAAAACUGACGCUCAUGCACGAAAGCGUGGGGAGCAAACAGGAUUAGAUACCCUGGUAGUCCACGCCCUAAACGAUGUCUACUGGUUGUUGGAGGGUAAAACCUUCAGUAACGAAGCUAACGCGUGAAGUAGACCGCCUGGGGAGUACGGUCGCAAGAUUAAAACUCAAAGGAAUUGACGGGGACCCGCACAAGCGGUGGAUGAUGUGGAUUAAUUCGAUGCAACGCGAAAAACCUUACCUAGCCUUGACAUGUCAGGAACGCUCCGGAGAUGGGGCGGUGCCCGCAAGGGAACCUGAGCACAGGUGCUGCAUGGCUGUCGUCAGCUCGUGUCGUGAGAU
rnacentral:rRNA from 1 species